AUGCCCGCCGAGAAGGCCCCCCAAGCCGGCAGCGUCACACUCGGCGCCACCCACAACAAUGCCGCUGCCGCCGCCGGUGCCGCCGUGCCGGUGCAGCCGCAGCAGCACAGGAGGUUGGAGGGGAAGGUGGCCAUCGUCACUGGCGGGGCACGCGGGAUCGGGGAGGCGAUCGUGCGCGCGUUCGUCCUUCAAGGCGCGCGCGUGGUGAUCGCCGACAUCGACGACGCGGCAGGGGAGGCGCUGGCGGCUGCGCUGGGCGGCGCCUGCUGCAGCUACGUGCACUGCGACGUGUCGGUGGAGGCCGACGUGGAGCGCGCCGUCGGGUGCUGCGUGGCGCGGUACGGGCGGCUGGACGUCCUCUGCAACAACGCCGGCGUGCUGGGCCGGCAGGCGCCGCCCGCGGGCACGGGCGCCAAGAGCGGCGGCAUCGCGUCCCUGGACGCCGCCGAGUUCGACCGCGUGCUGCGCGUGAACACGCUGGGCGCGGCCCUCGGCAUGAAGCACGCGGCGCGGGCCAUGCUGCAGCGCCGCGGCGGCUGCGGCGGCGGGAGCAUCGUGUCGGUGGCGAGCGUGGCCGGCGUGCUGGGCGGGAUGGGCCCGCACGCGUACACGGCCUCGAAGCACGCGCUCGUGGGGCUGACCAAGAACGCGGCCUGCGAGCUCGGAGAGCACGGCAUCCGCGUGAACUGCGUCUCCCCCUUCGGGGUGGCCACGCCAAUGCUGGUGAACGCGUGGCGCCACGGCAACCAUGGCGAGGACGAGGAAGGGGGCGCGCCGGCGCCGGUUAGCGCGGAGGAGGUCGAGAAGGCGGAGGAGAUGGUGCGGGGCAUGGCGACGCUCAAGGGCCCGACGCUGAGAGCCGAUGACAUCGCGGAGGCGGCGCUGUUCCUGGCCAGCGACGAGUCGGGGUACAUUUCCGGGCACAACCUCGUCGUCGACGGCGGCGUCACCACCUCCAGGAACGUCAUCGGGCUGUGA
rnacentral:rRNA from 1 species